rnacentral:rRNA from 1 species
UACGUAGGGGGCAAGCGUUGUCCGGAAUCAUUGGGCGUAAAGAGCGCGUAGGCGGCCCUGUAAGUCCGCUGUGAAAGUCAAGGGCUCAACCCUUGAAUGCCGGUGGAUACUGCAGGGCUAGAGUCCGGAAGAGGCGAGUGGAAUUCCCGGUGUAGCGGUGAAAUGCGCAGAUAUCGGGAGGAACACCAGUAGCGAAGGCGGCUCGCUGGGCCACACCUGACGCUGAGACGCGAAAGCUAGGGGAGCGAACAGG